UACGGAGGGUGCAAGCGUUGUCCGGAUUUAUUGGGUUUAAAGGGUGCGUAGGCGGCCCGUUAAGUCAGUGGUGAAAGCCUCCAGCUCAACUGGAGAACUGCCAUUGAUACUGGCGGGCGUGAGUACAGACGAGGUUGGCGGAAUUGAUUGUGUAGCGGUGAAAUGCAUAGAUACAAUCAAGAACACCGAUUGCGUAGGCAGCUAACUAGGCUGUAACUGACGCUGAGGCACGAAAGCGUGGGGAGCGAACAGG
rnacentral:rRNA from 1 species